GCCCUUUACAUCCUAUUAUAAUUGUUGUAGCAUAAAAUUGCUGGUUUUGUAGCUAUAGUAAUAAACGUGAUUUAGAAUAGAGGUUGCGGACUCGGGGGCGGUACCCGACGCUUCCACCAAAUUAAGUUGUGAUAGAAGGAUACUACAGGUUUUAUCCAUAAGCUUUCAUGGGGGCGAAAUAGGAUCGACGUGCUUAAUAAAAAAAUUAUCUUUACUCGGUAUAAUUCCGCCGGACCUUGUGUCGUUGGGUUAAAAAAAAGAAACGCAAAUGAUAAUGAACGUUUCGUAGGAACUACAGCACUAGCUGCCUAGUCCUACGCGGUUGGGGGCUUAACCGGGCAACAGAAAAAGCCCCGCU
rnacentral:tmRNA from 1 species